UCAUGUCUGUAAACUGGAGGUAAUGACAGC
rnacentral:piRNA from 1 species